ACACCUGAACGUUCCCAUACUCGAAGUGUUAGACAAUUUUGGUUCCACACUUUGAAGCCUGUCGAGGAGUGUGGCACUAUAUUGUUUUUCGCUGUCUCCUUUCUUUCACUACAAAAUUGCUUUUGCCCUGUCUUUGGCGUAUUCAUAUGAGUUUGGCCUUUGCUGGAGGCGGAGGUGUGUGCGCAAGCGUUAUCGUGUUUUGUGAAGUGAUUCUUUGCUCCGUGAAUCCCAUCGAGUCGAUCAGCUGAUGGAAAGAGUUUGGCCGUGAAGCGGAAAGGGUGAAGCCGGAGUUAAACCGCAGGAUGGCAGGACAAAUCACAUCGGAGAGAGUGCUGAAUAUUCGACGUCUUGAGAGAAACCACUGACGAACCCCAUCUCACCGUCCGCUUCGCAGAACGCCGGCAGUUUUUUUACCUGAUCGUUCAGCGACCGCUUGCGCAUGAUGAGCGUAGGUGCAAUAAAAAAAGGGAUCGUAUGUAUUUCCUUGUAAUUAUUUCGUUCACGGUCGUGGUGUGCUCGGGACGAGGGUGUCCCGAAUGCAGCAAUAGGAAAGAAAGGGAAAGCGAGAAAGAACAAAAAAGCGAAGGAAAGAACGGGACAAAAUAAAGCUAAUUUUUUGGCUUCCCGGCUUAUUAUAAAUAAGCUUGGGAGCUUCCAUGCUUGCAAGCUUGCAUGCUCGUAUGCAAGCGUACAUGCGCCCCGCCCCCU